ACGAACGCUGGCGGCAUGCCUAACACAUGCAAGUCGAACGCUAUUUAUAGAGUGGCGCACGGGUGAGUAACGCGUGGGAACCUGCCUUUCUCUGCGGGAUAACGGUUGGAAACGGCCGCUAAUACCGCAUACGCCCUACGGGGGAAAGGUCCGCCGGAGAAAGAGGGGCCCGCGUCUGAUUAGCUUGUUGGUAGGGUAAUGGCCUACCAAGACUGUGAUCAAUAGCUGAUUUGAGAGGAUGAUCAGCCACAUUGGGACUGAGACACGGCCCCAAACUCCUACGGGAGGCAGCAGUGGGGAAUCUUGC
rnacentral:rRNA from 1 species